CAGCAGCCGCGGUAAUACAGAGGGUGCGAGCGUUAAUCGGAUUUACUGGGCGUAAAGCGUGCGUAGGCGGCUUCUUAAGUCGGAUGUGAAAUCCCUGAGAUUAACUUAGGAAUUGCAUUCGAUACUGGGAAGCUAGAGUAUGGGAGAGGAUGGUAGAAUUCCAGGUGUAGCGGUGAAAUGCGUAGAGAUCUGGAGGAAUACCGAUGGCGAAGGCAGCCAUCUGGCCUAAUACUGACGCUGAGGUACGAAAGCAUGGGGAGCAAACAGGAUUAGAUACCCCUGUAGUCCCUGUCUCUUAUAC
rnacentral:rRNA from 1 species